CAGUCGCCGCGGUAAUACGUAGGUGGCAAGCGUUGUCCGGAAUUAUUGGGCGUAAAGGGCUCGCAGGCGGUUUCUUAAGUCUGAUGUGAAAGCCCCCGGCUCAACCGGGGAGGGUCAUUGGAAACUGGGAAACUUGAGUGCAGAAGAGGAGAGUGGAAUUCCACGUGUAGCGGUGAAAUGCGUAGAGAUGUGGAGGAACACCAGUGGCGAAGGCGACUCUCUGGUCCGUAACUGACGCUGAGGAGCGAAAGCGUGGGGAGCGAACAGGAUUAGAUACCCCAGUAGUCCCUGUCUCUUAUAC
rnacentral:rRNA from 1 species